UACGUAGGGUGCAAGCGUUAAUCGGAAUUACUGGGCGUAAAGCGUGCGCAGGCGGUUCUAUAAGACAGAUGUGAAAUCCCCGGGCUCAACCUGGGAACUGCAUUUGUGACUGUAGAGCUGGAGUACGGUAGAGGGGGAUGGAAUCCGCGUGUAGCAGUGAAAUGCGUAGAUAUGCGGAGGAACACCGAUGGCGAAGGCAAUCCCCUGGACCUGUACUGACGCUCAUGCACGAAAGCGUGGGGAGCAAACAGG
rnacentral:rRNA from 1 species